rnacentral:rRNA from 1 species
GAUGAACGCUGGCGGCGUGCCUAAUACAUGCAAGUCGAGCGAACAGAUGAGGAGCUUGCUCCUCUGACGUUAGCGGCGGACGGGUGAGUAACACGUGGAUAACCUACCUAUAAGACUGGGAUAACUUCGGGAAACCGGAGCUAAUACCGGAUAAUAUAUUGCACCGCAUGGUUCAAUAGUGAAAGACGGUUUUGCUGUCACUUCUCGCUGGAUCCGGGCCGCUUUGGCUGGUUGGGAAGGUAAAGGCCUUCCAAGGGAAGGAUUCGUAGACGACUUAAUAGGGGGAUCGGCCACACUGGAACUGAGACACGCUCCAGACUCCUACGGGACGCAGCAGUAGCGAAUCUUCCGCAGUGGUCGGAAGCCUGACGGAGCGACGCCGCGUGAGUGAUGAAAGUCUCCGGAUCGUAAUACUCUGUUAUGAGGGGUGAACAAAUGUGUAAGGAACUAUGCACGUCGUGACGGUACCUAAUCAGAAAGCCACGGCUAACUACGUG